rnacentral:rRNA from 1 species
ACAGAUCGUUCAGAGUUUGAUCCUGGCUCAGAUUGAACGCUGGCGGCAUGCUUUACACAUGCAAGUCGAACGGCAGCGCGGGCUUCGGCCUGGCGGCGAGUGGCGAACGGGUGAGUAAUGCAUCGGAACGUGCCCAGUAGUGGGGGAUAGCCCGGCGAAAGCCGGAUUAAUACCGCAUACGACCUGAGGGUGAAAGCGGGGGACCGAAAGGCCUCGCGCUAUUGGAGCGGCCGAUGUCGGAUUAGCUAGUUGGUGGGGUAAAGGCUUACCAAGGCGACGAUCCGUAGCUGGUCUGAGAGGACGACCAGCCACACUGGGACUGAGACACGGCCCAG